rnacentral:rRNA from 1 species
GAUGAACGCUGGCGGCGUGCCUAAUACAUGCAAGUCGAGCGAACGGACGAGAAGCUUGCUUCUCUGAUGUUAGCGGCGGACGGGUGAGUAACACGUGGAUAACCUACCUAUAAGACUGGGAUAACUUCGGGAAACCGGAGCUAAUACCGGAUAAUAUUUUGAACCGCAUGGUUCAAAAGUGAAAGACGGUCUUGCUGUCACUUAUAGAUGGAUCCGCGCUGCAUUAGCUAGUUGGUAAGGUAACGGCUUACCAAGGCAACGAUGCAUAGCCGACCUGAGAGGGUGAUCGGCCAAACUGGAACUGAGACACGGUCCGGACUCCUACGGGAAGCAGCAGUAGGGAAUCUUCCGCAAUGGGCGAAAGCCUGACGGAGCAACGCCGCGUGAGUGAUGAAGGUCUUCGGAUCGUAAAACUCUGUUAUUAGGGAAGAACAUAUGUGUAAGUAACUGUGCACAUCUUGACGGUACCUAAUCAGAAAGCCACGGCUAACUACGUG